GCGGCCACGGGUCCGUCCUGUGGCCACGCCCGUCUGAGGGUCGGCGACGUUCUACCCAUCGCUGGGAGGCUCGUGCCCAGCGCCUUGAGCUUUCGCAGGCUUUACAAAAAAAGUACUGCGUGGCUUGAAAUGCAGACCCGAAAUGUUUGUUUGUUUGCCUGGCUGCUGCUGUAAGUUGCGUGGCGACCUCAUGCGAGCAAAAGGACAUGGCUCGGAUAUAAAAUGAACGGUCUUUUGCUCUCGACCGCCGCGACGACCAACCACGGUAAGGCAACCAUCCCAUUUCCGACCUCAGAUCGGACGAGAUUACCCGCUGAAUUUAAGCNUAUCAC
rnacentral:rRNA from 1 species